rnacentral:sRNA from 1 species
GGUCAGGAAAGCUCAGGCAAGCCCACCCUCAGGCACUACAGCCAGACUCCGAGCUUACUGGGCAGUCAUCUGAUUCGACCAACAUCAGUUCGCAGGGCUUAAGCCCAGUCCCUUAGGGCGGCCUGGGGAGGGGCCAGGCCCAAGUAUAUAAAGCUCCCUGAGGGUCCGCGUUGGCUUUGCGCCUGUGAGUGUGAUUCAAGAACGUCCCAGUGCCCUUGGCUCUUUUCGGAGUGUGACCCCGGGCUUGCACGGGACACGUUACCCAGCUCGGGUGAGAAGGGUAUCUUCCGGGACCCUCGCCUUUAAUAGCACAACGAGCGCAGAGUCCACUGGAUCUGCGAGAAGAAACCGCGCUAACUAGUUUGUCCCUACGGCCGCCUCGUAGUCACUGCCGCGACGCCUUGAGUCUCCGCGCCGCAUUGCCAUGGCUGCCCGUGGUGUCAUCGCUCCAGUUGGCGAGAGUUCGCGCUACGCUGAGUACUUGCAGCCCUCGGCCAAACGGCCCGACGCCGACGUCGACCAGCAGGGACUGGUAAGAAGUUUGAUAGCUGUAGGACUGGGUGUUGCAGCUCUUGCAUUUGCAGGUCGCUACGCAUUUCGGAUCUGGAAACCUCUAGAACAAGUUAUCACAGAAACUGCAAAGAAGAUUUCAACUCCUAGCUUUUCAUCCUACUAUAAAGGAGGAUUUGAACAGAAAAUGAGUAGGCGAGAAGCUGGUCUUAUUUUAGGUGUAAGGUAGGUGUGCAGCAUAAGUAUUGUUUUGUUGUGUGACCAAGCUUGUCUUUAAAAAAGAGAAAACGUUACAAUAAGGUUAUACUUACACUUAAAAUUAUGAGUAGGUGGCAGAGGAGAAAAUAUCAAAUUUUUAUAUUUUAAAGCCUCAAAUCUAAAAGUAUCCCACUCCCCUAAAAAAACAAAACAAAA